rnacentral:rRNA from 1 species
UACGUAGGGUGCGAGCGUUAAUCGGAAUUACUGGGCGUAAAGCGUGCGCAGGCGGUGAUGUAAGACAGAUGUGAAAUCCCCGGGCUCAACCUGGGAACUGCAUUUGUGACUGCAUCGCUGGAGUGCGGGAGAGGGGGAUGGAAUUCCGCGUGUAGCAGUGAAAUGCGUAGAGAUGCGGAGGAACACCGAUGGCGAAGGCAGCCCCCUGGGCUAGCACUGACGCUCAGGCACGAAAGCGUGGGGAGCAAACAGG